GAUCAAAGGCCUUUUCUUGAAUCAUUGCCUCUUCUUCUUUAUAAGCAUUUUGAAUCUUCUUGUGAUUAGGGCCAUCUCUUUAUUCUUAUCAGCUUCAUCCAAUUCAUCACUCUCCUCCUUAUCCUUACUUCAAGAUGAUGGUUUUCUUCUUCCUUGACUUCUCUUCAAAGCUUUGUCUCAUGUUCAGCUUGUGAGUUAUUAAGGAUCCAAUAAGUUCCUCCAAAGCUAGCUUAUUCAAAUUUUUUACUUUUUGUAUUACC
rnacentral:lncRNA from 1 species